rnacentral:rRNA from 1 species
GAUUAACGCUGGCGGCGUGCCUAAUGCAUGCAAGUCGAACGUGGUCUCUUCGGAGAUUAACGUGGCGGACGGGUGAGGAACACGUGGGGAACCUGCCCAUUGGUGGGGGGUAGCCCGCGGAAACGCGGGGUAAUUCCGCAUACGCUGGUCUGGGGAUAGCCUGGAUCAGGAAAGGGCUCUUCGGAGCUCGCCGAUGGAGGGGCCUGCGUCCGAUUAGCUAGUUGGUGGGGUAACGGCCUACCAAGGCUUUGAUCGGUAGCUGGUCUGAGAGGACGGCCAGCCACAGGGGAACUGAGACACGGUCCCCACUCCUACGGGAGGCAG